rnacentral:rRNA from 1 species
UUUGAAAGCUGGCCUUCGGGUCCGCGUUGUAAUUUGCAGAGGAAGCUUUGGGCGCGGCGCUGUCUGAGUCCCCUGGAACGGGGCGCCAAAGAGGGUGAGAGCCCCGUAUAGACGGAUGCCUAGCCUGUGUAAAGCUCCUUCGACGAGUCGAGUAGUUUGGGAAUGCUGCUCAAAAUGGGAGGUAAAUUUCUUCUAAAGCUAAAUACCGGCCAGAGACCGAUAGCGCACAAGUAGAGUGAUCGAAAGAUGAAAAGCACUUUGAAAAGAGGGUUAAAUAGCACGUGAAAUUGUUGAAAGGGAAGCGCUUGUGACCAGACUUGCGCCGGGCUGAUCAUCCGGUGUUCUCACCGGUGCACUCUGCCCGGCUCAGGCCAGCAUCGGUUCUCGCGGGGGGAUAAAGGCUUAGGGAAUGUAGCUCCUCCGGGAGUGUUAUAGCCCUCUGCGUAAUACCCUCGCGGGGACCGAGGUCUGCGCUCUGCAAGGAUGCUGGCGUAAUGGUCAUCAGCGACCCGUCUUGAAACACGGACCAAGGAGUCAAGGUUUUGCGCGAGUGUUUGGGUGUCAAACCCGCACGCGUAAUGAAAGUGAACGUAGGUGAGAGCUUCGGCGCAUCAUCGACCGAUCCUGAUGUACUCGGAUGGAUUUGAGUAAGAGCGUUAAGCCUUGGACCCGAAAGAUGGUGAACUAUGCUUGGAUAGGGUGAAGCCAGAGGAAACUCUGGUGGAGGCUCGCAGCGGUUCUGACGUGCAAAUCGAUCGUCAAAUCUGAGCAUGGGGCGAAAGAC